rnacentral:rRNA from 1 species
GACGGAGGAUGCAAGCGUUAUCCGGAAUGAUUGGGCGUAAAGCGUCCGCAGGUGGCAGUUCAAGUCUGCUGUCAAAGACCGGGGCUUAACUUCGGAAAGGCAGUGGAAACUGAACAGCUAGAGUAUGGUAGGGGCAGAGGGAAUUCCUGGUGUAGCGGUGAAAUGCGCAGAUAUCAGGAAGAACACCUAUGGCGAAGGCAGCUCUCUGGGACGGUACUGACGCUGAGACGCGAAAGCGUGGGGAGCGAACAGG